GUAGGACCGGUCGAAUUGGAACAACCAUAGCUGUUUUGUUAGGUUCCACCUGCUAUUUCGUGUUAUCCCAGUGCUUAGUCAAGAUAGUUGUGAAAUGAUGAAUAAAAUUCAGGAUGACGAUAAGUCGAGCCAGUACGACACACCAAUGCACUGCAUCCUCAACCAGGAUUCCUACAUUUUGUAUCCAGCCGGCGGAAUGGAGCCAGGUUGUUUCUGUACGGUGGAUCUGAUCCCUGGAAACACUACUUACUGUGCGUUGCUGAUAGCUGUACCAGCCCCCAUCGAAAAAGAAUGCAGGAACCUGGCACACUACUAAUUUGUUGAUUAUGCUGAAGAACCCACCACUAGCGAUCGAUGGAUUCAUCCGGAUAAAUUCACUGUAACUUCAGCAGCAUAAUCAUCCGGUACUGAAACCUCGUCGUAGUCGAUGGUCACCAUGGAGUACAUACUUACAAUGGGCUGCAAGAAGUACUGAAGUACAAGCGCGAUGUAAACAAGGCGAAGCGG